UGUAUCAAUUAUGAUGGUAACUCAACCUAUGUGAUUGGAGAUCCCAUGAAGUAGGUUCAUAUGGGUAAUAAUAAGUCAUUAGUUGAUCAAAUGCGUACUAUUAAAAUAUGUCUUACUAUGGUAUAUGUGUAAAUAAUGCAAGAUUGCAAGGAAUGUGAGGCUGAGUUAUUAAACUCUUAAUCCAAUAAUCCAUAGCCUAUUGUAGGUGAUGUAUUGUGCUGCAGAAUACACUUGAUAGAUGGGCCUAUAUGAGUGUGGAGUGCAGCCGCUUCUAUGAAAUGU
rnacentral:lncRNA from 1 species